rnacentral:rRNA from 1 species
CUCCACAUCCGCAUCCUUUGCUGAGGAUACGGUUAACGGAGCGAAAGCGACGUUCAACCGCAAAACAAGCAGAGGGGGCUUAGUGGUGGGGUGACUGCGUACCUUUUGUAUAAUGGGUCAGCGACUUAUAUUCUGUAGCAAGGUUAACCGAAUAGGGGAGCCGGAGGGAAACCGAGUCUUAAUUGGGCGUUAAGUUGCAGGGUAUAGACCCGAAACCCGGUGAUCUAGCCAUGGGCAGGUUGAAGGUUGGGUAACACUAACUGGAGGACCGAACCGACUAAUGUUGAAAAAUUAGCGGAUGACCUGUGGCUGGGGGUGAAAGGCCAAUCAAACCGGGAGAUAGCUGGUUCUCCCCGAAAGCUAUUUAGGUAGCGCCUCGUGAAUUCAUCUCCGGGGGUAGAGCACUGUUUCGGCUAGGGGGCCAUCCCGGCUUACCAACCCGAUGCAAACUGCGAAUACCGGAGAAUGUUAUCACGGGAGACACACGGCGGGUGCUAACGUCCGUCGUGAAGAGGGAAACAACCCAGACCGCCAGCUAAGGUCCCAAAGUCAUGGUUAAGUGGGAAACGAUGUGGGAAGGCCCAGACAGCCAGGAUGUUGGCUUAGAAGCAGCCAUCAUUUAAAGAAAGCGUAAUAGCUCACUGGUCGAGUCGGCCUGCGCGGAAGAUGUAACGGGGCUAAACCAUGCACCGAAGCUGCGGCAGCGAACGUAUCACCCAAGACAACUUUACGGAGUUGACGAUUGACGGAGCGAAGCGACGUCAAAGCGUUCAUUAAAGUCGAGUUGGCUUAGGGAUACGUUCGUUGGGUAGGGGAGCGUUCUGUAAGCCUGUGAAGGUGUGUCGUGAGGC